ensembl:rRNA n-R5s64 nuclear encoded rRNA 5S 64
GUCUAUGGCCAUACCACCCUGAAUGUGCCCAAUCUUGUCUGAUCUCGGAAGCUAAGCAGGGUCGGGCCUGGUUAGUACUUGGAUGGGAUACCGCCUGGGAAUGCCAGAUGCUGUAGGUU